rnacentral:rRNA from 1 species
UGCAGUCGAGCGGCAGCACGGGAAGCUUGCUUCCUGGUGGCGAGCGGCGGACGGGUGAGUAAUGCAUAGAAAUCUGCCCGGUAGUGGGGGAUAACCUGGGGAAACCCAGGCUAAUACCGCAUACGUCCUACGGGAGAAAGCAGGGGAUCUUCGGACCUUGCGCUAUCGGAUGAGUCUAUGUCGGAUUAGCUUGUUGGUGAGGUAAUGGCUCACCAAGGCGACGAUCCGUAGCUGGUCUGAGAGGAUGAUCAGCCACAUCGGGACUGAGACACGGCCCGAACUCCUACGGGAGGCAGCAGUGGGGAAUAUUGGACAAUGGGCGAAAGCCUGAUCCAGCCAUGCCGCGUGUGUGAAGAAGGCCUUCGGGUUGUAAAGCACUUUCAGUGGGGAAGAAAGCCUUGGGGCUAAUACCCUCGAGGAAGGACAUCACCCACAGAAGAAGCACCGGCUAACUCCGUGCCAGCAGCCGCGGUAAUACGGAGGGUGCGAGCGUUAAUCGGAAUUACUGGGCGUAAAGCGCGCGUAGGCGGUCUGAUAAGCCGGUUGUGAAAGCCCCGGGCUCAACCUGGGAACGGCAUCCGGAACUGUCAGGCUAGAGUGCAGGAGAGGAAGGUAGAAUUCCCGGUGUAGCGGUGAAAUGCGUAGAGAUCGGGAGGAAUACCAGUGGCGAAGGCGGCCUUCUGGACUGACACUGACGCUGAGGUGCGAAAGCGUGGGUAGCAAACAGGAUUAGAUACCCUGGUAGUCCACGCCGUAAACGAUGUCGACUAGCCGUUGGGGUCCUUGAGACCUUUGUGGCGCAGUUAACGCGAUAAGUCGACCGCCUGGGGAGUACGGCCGCAAGGUUAAAACUCAAAUGAAUUGACGGGGGCCCGCACAAGCGGUGGAGCAUGUGGUUUAAUUCGAUGCAACGCGAAGAACCUUACCUACCCUUGACAUC